GAAAAGAACCCCGGGAGGGGAGUGAAAUAGAACCUGAAACCCUGCACUUACAAGCUGUGGAAGCACAUUUCUUGUGUGACCGCGUACUUUUUGUAGAACGGGCCAACGAGUUACGUUAAGUAGCAAGGUUAAGCACUUAAGGUGCGGAGCCGUAGCGAAAGCGAGUUUUAACUGAGCGUUCAGUUACUUGACGUAGACCCGAAACCGGGCGACCUACCCAUGAGCAGGAUGAAGCGAAAGUAAAAUUUCGUGGAGGUCCGAACCCACGAGCGUUGAAAAGCUCGGGGAUGACUUGUGGGUAGCGGUGAAAUUCCAAUCGAGCCCGGAGAUAGCUGGUUCUCCCCGAAAUAGCUUUAGGGCUAGCCUCAAGGUGAGAGAUACGGAGGUAGAGCACUGAAUGUCCUAGGGGGUAUUGCACCUACCGAAGACUAUCAAACUCCGAAUGCCGUCAUCUUAUACUUGGGAGUCAGACUGUGGGUGAUAAGAUUCAUAGUCGAAAGGGCAACAGCCCAGAUCGUCAGCUAAGGUCCCUAAAUGUAAGUUAAGUGGUAAAGGAUGUGGGAUUGCACAGACAACCAGGAUGUUGGCUUAGAAGCAGCCACUCAUUCAAAGAGUGCGUAAUAGCUCACUGGUCGAGUGAUCCUGCGCCGAAGAUUUCCGGGGCUAAAACUUACUACCGAAGCUACGGCAUCAGUAAUGAUGGGUAGGGGAGCUUCCCAUA
rnacentral:rRNA from 1 species